CACCAGGGACGGCCCUGGCGGAAUCCACAUCCGGGGACGGCCCC
rnacentral:ncRNA from 1 species